UCUAAGUCACAGAUCUACUGCAAAUUCUGAUCUCUUAAGAGGGCUUUACCUGAGUAAAAGUGAAAAAAAGAAUACAUUUACUAUAUAUAUUUUUAUUCACUUACUUGUCUAAUAAAAUUUUAGUGAUAUUUUCCAAAAGCUCCAUGGUGGUUGUUUUGCAGGUGACAAACAUACGUAAAACUAUACAUAGACCUUACUUGCUAGUAACUUACAUCCAAGUAGAGGCAUUAGAAGAGAUUGUGAGGUCAGAUGAAAGAUGCCAUUAGAAUUUAGAGAAGAGAGCACACUCUUUAAAGGAAGAGAUCUAAAAAGAGUUUAAGGAGAAGGUCAUGAUUGAGUAGGAUAGUUUUUGGAUUUGAGGAAAUAAGAAAUAGAUAUGUCACACAGGAGAAUUAGCAUGCAAAUGGUCUAGAUCAGUUCUUAGCAAUAGAAAUACAACGUGAAUGACAAAUGUAAGCCACAUAUGUAAUUUUAAAACUUCUAGUAGCCAUAUUAAAAAAGUAAAAUGGAACAGCAAAUCUCAAUUCUGCCUAGUCACAAGAGCUCAACAGUGGGGACUACAUUGGGCAGCACAGAUCCAGACUCUAAAAUCUGUUAUUUGAAGAUAAAAUUUGAUUAAAUGAGAGAAUUA